rnacentral:misc_RNA from 1 species
UCGAGUUACCGCUCUACAACCCUUUGUGAACAUACCUAACUGUUGCUUCGGCGGGCAGGGGUCCCCCCGGGGACGCCCCUCCCGGCCCCGCCCCCUACCAGGGGACGUGGCGCCCGCCGGAGGAUACCCAACUCUAUUUUAACGACGUUUCUUCUGAGUGGCACAAGCAAAUAAUU